GCAGAGACACAUUUGGCUCACUCCUGAAAGAACAUGAAGGGUAAUCAGACCUAUAUAAAGCAUGGAUGGACAGGUAUUCCUAGAUUGGCUGCUUCUUUUGCAGAACUGCCACUUCACAUUGCACCAAACCCUGCCUUGACCCUUCUGCCUGACAGAAGAGGCCGUUCCGCCCUACCCCAGGGCAAUGAUACCACUGUACAAGGUUCCAGCCCACAGCUUAGGAGGUGUGGGUUACCCCCUGCAGGGCUGCAGAAGGUGCUGGAGUGUUGCAAGUUUGCUGCUGGGAGGCUGCCACUUUCCCCCACCAGCCCUGGGGAAAAAAUAGGGGAAGGCUGGAAAAGUCCUGCGGGAGAGGUGCUUCAUGGGGAGGAAGGCUUUCCUGAAGACCAAGUAUAAUAUUCCCUUCUUGACAUUUUUAACAGGAGAACGAAUUACCAUUAGAAAACAGAGCAAAAAGCCACUCCCGCCCUGAAAACAGUGCUUUUUCUGUAGUGCUGCUACUACGUAUAUGGAUUUCACUUACCACCAACCAAAGCGUUCCUUUUCUAAGAGGAGGACUGACGCUUGUAAAGGACUAAGAAGAUUCUGGGCAUCUGGAGUCUCUCGUCGCUGCCAGCUCUUCAGUUAAAUAUAGUUGCAGGCAGUCUGUUGUGUAUAGGGGGAUAAAAAGCAGAUGGCUUUCAAAUCCCUUGUGAAGUUUCUGUAACUGUCAUUUAAAAGAAAACACCUUUGACUUGUGCACCAGGCAAGUCUGAACUAAAACCACAGGGAAAGAGUAAAUAUGAUCCUCCUCGUGCCUUUUUAGAGCCUCUUUUCUGUCCAUAACUGCUCUUUAAAUGUAAAUAAACACUGUUCUCUUAAUAUGUGAAUUUCUGCCCUAAGAACACUCUUAGGGAUUGCACAAAUAUUACCUCAGUGUAUAUUCAGACUUUAUUAAAACAAAUUACUGCAGUACA